UUCUCUCCAGUCUUCUCAAAGGUACUUUUCCCUGUUCACUGUUAGCAAAUCUUGUUCUUUCCCUCUUGAUUUGUAUGUAUGAUGAUUUUUGGCAUGAAGGAGAAGUGUACAGGGCAGAAAGGAGAGACAACUUGGAGCUCUUCACCAGAAACAAAGAUAAAUUUUCUCUAUCUCUUUGUUUCCUUCAUGUUCUGCGUCUCUUCUUCCUUUUUUUCCAUCUCAAGUGUUGCCCUCCUCUUUGUUUAAUUCUGAUCAGCAGAUUUAACUUGGUCGGAAUCUCUUGGUUGACUCUGUUACUCCAAUUCCAAAUAUCCAAAUUCUAAUUUUAAAAUUCGAUGUAGCUCUAUAAACUUCAGAAAUUAGACGAUGGAUUCUAUACUUAGAUUUAGUUGCAAUUUCUUAAUACAAAUGAUUCUCUCAGUAUAGAUUUGGUUGCGGUAGCUUUUAUUUGUUUCCUCUCACGUAUGUUGGUUUCAUAGCGUAAGUAACAAGAAUUAAAGCAUACAGACUUUCAACACAACCUUUGGUAGUUUGGCUAUUUGUACAAAAUAUCUGCUCUCGACAUGAGCGAACGGUAUUGAUGAAGAAAAACUUAGAUGUGUGGCAAAUGAAUGUCUAUAAAUCCAUGUCGUUGAUUCGUUGCUUGUGUGUCUAUAUACUUGCAGUUCAGUGUUGCUUUUCCCGUCUCCUAAUGGGUAUAUAUAGAAAAACGGUUUUUCAUUCUUAUGAGUAAGUUCUGAUAUUUUAUGUAUGCAUUAUCCUUUUGUUACACUUAUAAGUCAUACAAUAACCUCUCUUCAUUACUACUUUGUUUAUCAUGCCUACUUCUGUUAAGCCUUUCUACACGUUUCUUCUAUAUUUUGUCGAUGUUUACUGAAAAAUUGUUGUUUAGAUUGUUAAUGAACUAUUGGUAUAGAAGUAACGCUUGUUGGUAAAAUUGCUUUUGAAUUUCUUUUUUUGACUUGGGGUUUUAUGAUUUUUCCUUAUGUCUACGGUUUAUGCCUCUUUAUAUACUCAUUUCAGCCAUACUUCAAUUUCGUAUAGUAAUAGUGAAAAGUUUCAGUGUGGAAUUGCUUUUUAUCCCCUGUUGCUUUAUGGGGAAGUUGGAAGAGUAAAAAGAACUACGUUUUGGAGGAGGAAAAAAAAACUAAAAGCUUCCUGUUUCUAAAAUGUUUAAGUUAUCAAAUUUCCUACAUUUAUGUCAUAAUGUAGUGAAUGGCCUUACUUGAACAGGACGAACAAAGAAAUAUUUGGUUCAUUUUGGAAAAAUCAUGAAAGAACACAACGAUUUUAUAAGAUAUGUUGCAGAAUAUUUUGUGUUUAUUUGUAUGAAUGCAUAAGGCCAUAUGUCCAUUUGGACCACUUAAACAUGUGAUUUAUGUAUUAGUAUGUGAUUUUAUAUUAUGGUAUAGUCGUUCAUGUAAUAUGUUCUAUUUGAGAGAGUCCAUACUCUUGGAACCAUUAUAUGGUGUAUUAUUGACAAAAAGUGAUGCAUUUUUUGCGUUGUAUCUCGUGUCCUCCUUAGCAAUCUUUGACCAAAAACACCACCUGCAAAAUCGUGAAGUAAUGAUUAAAUGUUAAUCCAUAUAUUAGACUAAGCGUAAACUUGUCUUAUAGUUCUUGUCAAUUACAUAAUAAGAAAUUGUAGGGUGC
rnacentral:lncRNA from 1 species